UACGUAGGGUGCGAGCGUUUAAUCGGAAUUACUGGGCGUAAAGCGUGCGCAGGCGGUUUUGUAAGCCAGAUGUGAAAUCCCCGGGCUUAACCUGGGAAUGGCAUUUGGGACUGCAAGGCUUGAGUGCGGCAGAGGAGACUGGAAUUCCUGGUGUAGCAGUGAAAUGCGUAGAUAUCAGGGAGGAAUACCGAUGGCGAAAGGCAGGUCUCUGGGCUGACACUGACGCUCAUGCACGAAAGCGUGGGGAGCAAACAGG
rnacentral:rRNA from 1 species